rnacentral:lncRNA from 1 species
CUAACCUCUUGGCAGUAUCAAAACAGCAAUGACUUGAAAUCCUUUCUAAAGUAUUUCAAGAUGUCUUUGAAAUUCAAGAUCCUCCUAGUUACUGCAAGUUUAAUACUCUUACGUUGAUCUGCCUUAUUUUUUUCUGUAAAGAAAAGGAAUAUCCUCCUUCUGAUGACCUCUCACAGUCAUGAAACUGUGCACUGACUCAUAUGCCAGCACCUUCCAGAAAACCUCCCAAGGGAAAUCAGAGAACAGGGCUUCAGGUAAUUGCUUAUGUUUAAACUUUCUCGUUCCAUAGCAGUUAUUUUUAAUAGAAAUCUCUUGUUUUUUAAUAGAAUUCUGUGACUUUGGGGAGUGCUAGCAGGGGCUCAUAUUCUUUCACAUUAAUAACAUGAGGAACAGUAAAAAAAAAAGAAGUGGGCGGUGGUUAUAAAAUUCAUGACAAUAAGCUGAACCAGGCAAAGUUUUGCAGGACAAUGGGAUUUCUGCAGGUUUUUCAAAUGCCCACAGGCUUCAUAGGCUAGCUCCAAUGCUAUUCUAUAUUCUAAUACAAAAUGAAUGUCUCCUAGAUUCCCAUGGCACCUGUUUGUUUAACCCAUUAUCAUUGAUUACUACUGCUGUUAGUGAAAUCUUUGAGUAUGUGCUCUUUGCCUCCUAAUCCAGCAAUGAUUAUGAUGAGAGUGACCAUUUAGUAAACACCUGCUAUGUGCCAAGCAAUACAUUAAGUAUUUUAUGUAUAUUUUCUAGAAAAAUUAUUAAAAGAAAGUGUUUUGGUCUGUUUCGGUUUCAUAUUGGUACAUAAAUAUACAUGAUAAAUAUCUCCAAAACUCAGCAACUUGUUAUCUUCACACAAUCUUGGGUGUUGAGUGGGUGGUUCUUAUGCUGGUCUCAUGGAGGAUCUCCCAGUGACUGAGUCACCUGACAACUUGACUGGGACCAGAGGGUCCAAAAUAGUCUCAUUCAUAUGUAUGGAAGUUGGGGCCAGCUGUCAGCUGAGGGUUUUAUGACUUGAAGCUGGUAUUCCUUCUGUUGUACAAUGUAGCUUCUUAUUAGCAGAAGAAAGUCUCUCAUGGCUGCAUCCCAUCAAUCUUGGACAUUGGCUACCAUAAUAGCUAUUAAGAGAUCUUUGUCAAUUGAAGGAUUGAGGGAAACUGACAAACUGCUAUAGAAUUGUGAGGAAAAUAUUUACAUACAUUUUUCAGUUGACCCCAAACUGAUUCAGCUGGUUCUUCCUAGAAUAGUAGGGCUUGGUAAAGUCAUACUUCCUACCUUAGAAGAGUAGUCUGCUCUUUCAGGACCAAAGAGCUACCAGAACUCAGAGGCCAUCCAGUAGAGCAUUCUGUAUUCCUCUGACUCACCUACUUAUAAGAAUCACUUCUGAGUGCUAAAAAAGAAAGAAAGAAAAAAAAAGUCUCUUGCUUCCUUCUUCUUAAAUAAGAAUCUCACAGGAUGGGGCCAGGAUCUGAAACUAACUUCCUUGAGGAGUCCUAAAGGCUAUUCUAGGUCACUAGAAUCCAUGGAAACUUUGGAACAGCUGGGAACCAACUCUACAAGAGACAGAGAUUCAAGUUUGCAAUUUAAUAUACCCACCCAAAGCAUGAGUUGGAAACAAGUUGUAGUUCUGAUUAUGUGAACCACAAAGAGUUGCUGGUCCACCAAAUAUUGCUCUUGGGAGUCACAGGAGCAAACCAAACAGGCAUUACCACCCCUACGAUGGAUGGUUGAUGGUAGAUAUGAGCCAGCAGUGGUGUUCUAAUAAGAGCUGUCACUGAUGUGCGAAACAGGAGAAAACCAUCAAGUUGUCUUCUCCACUCAAAGUACUCAAAUCACAGAAACAAGGAACAACUACCUCAGGUCCUGAGCUCAUACAGUGGCUAGGACACCAUGCUGUUAUGCAAUACAACAGGACUUCUUUGAACCUUUCAAAGUCAGGAGAUGAUGCUUUCUAACAUGAAAUGAAGGUUUACAUUUGAACAAAAAAUAUUUAAUAUAUCGGUUUUGCUGUUUUAUUUCUAUGAAGACUUUGAGAAUAACUGUGUCCUUUGCCUUUUUAUUUCACAUUGUAACAACUACAUAGAAGGUUCUUGCUACUAUUUUUUUUCUGAUGGUUUAAGAGAUUAUUACUUUCAACCACAGCGUUUUGAUUUCAUUCCUCUGUAAUUCUUAACUAACUCUGCCUAGGGCACAGUCAUUUCAGUAGCUGUCUAGCUCCCAACCCAUCCCCAUUCCUCUCAUUCCCAACUACAGCACCUUGAGGGCAGGAGCUGUGUAUUUUUUUUUUUUAUCUCCGAAUCUUCCAAACUAACUGGCAGGGUGACUGUGACGUAAGAAGUACUCAAUAAAUGAUUUUGAUUUCAAGCCUUCUGAAAGUGUUCAUAAAAGCAACUCUGACAGAAAGAAAAGCUCAGGGUGUAUGUGGAGAGCUGGUGGCAAAGGUGAAUAAAAUUUAAAUACUUCAUAUGAGCACACCGAGGCUCAUGGGUGGAAUGAGAUAUUUAUUAUCAACAUGCAACAAGAGAGAGUACCUAAAAGGAGAACUCACUUCUUUGGGGGUAAUAAGCAGAAUCACAAAGCUUUGUUCUAAAUUGCUUCAUAUUUUUCAUUUGGGUGAAUUUUGUCUUUCCUCCUGGUCUGCAAGCCCCUCAUGAGCCAAAAUAUUCCUGAUGAUAUAUGAUGUUAUACAUCAGAACAUAUUAAACAAUGUUUGGUAAGUUAAAGAAGGGAACAUGCAUGACAAAUAGGCAAGGGAAUCUUGUUUGUCAUACUUUAUAAGUAAAUUACAAGAUACCAGAAUGUUGAUACCUUAGGACGGGGUUCUGGACUACCAUCUGUAAGAUUGAAAGAAGAGUAAAAAUAUGCCUAUUUGUGGCUGUUUAGAUCUACAGUGUAUUUAACAAAUUAAUAGUAGUUUUUAGCACUUAACUUAUUCCAAAACUUAAUUUAUUCCAAAACUUAGGUCUUUAAAGAUUACCAGGGUUUGCCCAUCAGUAUUGAUGCUGUGGUUCACCUAAGAGAAUCAUUGCAUCAUUCACGCACUGACCGAGGGAAUAACUUAGUUGAAUUAUUUUUCCUGUUAGAUUUAAAUGAGGGAAACUGUGCAUAUCAUUUAUGCAGAUUUUAUGUACAAAGCAUAAUCAUAUAUUAAUCCUACAAGCCAUGAAAUAGAGGCAUAUUUUCAAGAAAAUAAAUGUCUUUGUAGGAAUUUAAGAAAGAAACUACUCCUGUGUGAUUAUCCACAUUAAUAUAGAAUUCAACGCUACUGUCAGAAAAGGACACCGUUCUUCAAAGCUCAAAAUAAAGGAUAGUCACAUUAAUACUAAUAGGCCUUCACAAUGCCAUUUCCUUUGCUUCAUUUUUUUUUCUCAUUCUCUGCCUUCAUGACAAAGAUUAAAUGCCACUUUCUUUGUGAAAUAUUAUCUGACUUUUACUCUCUACUCAAAAAUAGGCCAAUGUUUCCUCCAUGGUCCCAUAUUGUGUUUUUCAUUUACUCUAGAACACCACUCAUGAAUUUAUCCCUUCAUUCUGCAGGCGUGAUGUGGCCUGCUGUUCAUCAGGUGUCAUGCUUGGCAUCAGGCAUCCAGCUGGGAGCAUGUUGCUGGCUCCUCCCCUGGUGGUGUGGUGAUUUCUCUCUGUCUCGCCUGUACCACAAGCUCCUGAGGUGUGAAGACGUGUCUGUUCAAUCAACUGAUCAAGUCAAGGGCAGCAGUGACAAGAUGUGCUGGGAAGCCUAUAGCCCUGUCUACAAGGUCUCUGCCUUCUCUUACGGAAUUCCUUUUUCUCCCCAUGCUUGAAGUCCAUAUUUCUACUACUACCUAACUUCUUUCUUGCAGCCAUUCCUGAAAUACUUUCAUUCACCAGGCAGAAAAUCGAGUCCACUAUUUUUCUCUACCAACUCUUUGGUUUCCCUAAGAUAAAAAGUCAGGGUCUUCUUCAAAUUCCUUCCUUCUCUAACCUUUCACAACCACUAAAACCCUGUGAGUCUCCCCUUACCUUAUCAUUGUGUCCAGCCCUUCUCUCCAUCCUCACUGUCCCAUUUCAGUUGCCUUUUCAUUUUCUGCCUGGACUCUGCCCACAGCAUCUUAACUGGUAGCACCAACUGAGGGCUAUCCCCACAAUCUUUUGUUUUCUACUUUAUGCCAGAGUUGUCUCUCUAAACUACAAAUCAUAUCAUUUCUUUCUCACCACCUCUCCCCUUGUUAAAAGUCUCCAAUGGCUUUUCCUCACCUUAACAAUAAGGUGCUGAGAUCCAAGCCACUUUCUUGCAGCAUGUAAGACUCUUCAUGAGCUGGCCUUGCUUUUUACUGAGCUUUCUAAACUCACACACAGCUCACUCCCUCAGCUCAAGAAUACUAAAGGUAACCAGUGUUGCCAUUAGGAAAACAUAAUUAUAAAAUGCAGAAAUCAUCUCACAUGUUAUGUACCAUGCUGCUUGGGGAACUUUAUCAAUCUUCAUCCAAAAGAAAAUGAUUCUGUUCCUUGUAGACAUGGAUAUUCCAAUUACUGUAAUAGAAUAAGGAAAUAAAUGAAUAUCAUAAAUUGCUUUGGGGCAUCUUUUGAAAACUUUCCUUCUUUUCCAAGGCACUCAGCUCUUAUACAGAAUGCUUCUAUGUUGUCUAGAACUGAAUCAAGGAAUUUGAAAACCAGAGAAAGUGCUAAAAUAAUCUAAUCCAAUUUCCUUAUUUCAUAAAUGAGAAAACUCAAGACCAGAACAUUGAAACAUUUGUCCAAGCUCAUAUAUCUACUAAAUGUCCUUUCCUUUCACCCAUCUCCAACAAAAAUAAAAAGGAAUAGAUUUAAUCAAAUUAAACAAUAGAUCCUUAUGCAUUUUUCUGAAGAGCAAACUCAUUUGUAUGCUACGGCUUCUCUUCCAAUGUGGUUUCAUUGCUAAAACUCACUUCUUAUUUUGCAUUUUCAAUUAGACACAAGGUGAAAUGUCUCUUUAUGGAAAUCUUGACUCACUUUUACCUGUCGCUGUGGGUGUAUUAAAGUAUAUGAAGUUAUAAAAAGAUAUGAAAUAUGAAUAUAAUCUAGUUUAAUUAUUUCUAUCUUCCAAAGACUAUGAUUGCAGUUGGAUGUCAGUGAAAUCUCCAGUGGUUGAAGUUCAUGCUUAGAAAAAUAGUGAGCAGAAUAAAAGGCUACAG